AGCCCAAUAUUUUUACUAUAUUUAAGGUUUGCAAUUUUUCAUUAGGUUUGCUUGUUUUUUAUUAUGAAUUAGCUUGUGUUUUUUCUUUUGUGCUAGAGUAGUCCAGCCCAAUGUACUAAAAAAUGAUGGACCAAUUCUAUUUCUUCAUAUUUUGCCUAAAGCAGAACCGAAUUUUGUAGUUUAGCCCCUAAUAGUUAGAGUAAUUUUAUUGUGACCCAAAAAAUUUGAAUUUCUUUCAUUCUGGUCCUUAAUUUAAUUGUAUUUUGGCCCCAAACUUUAUCUUUGUUUAAUUUUGACCCUUUUGUAUAAUUAUAUUUUGACCUAAAACUUUUUAAUUUUUACAAUUUAG
rnacentral:lncRNA from 1 species